GUGUAUAUAAUGGUGUUGUGUUACGAUUGUUAAUUUAUUCUUUAUUUAUUUUUUUGGUGUGGAACUGUUCACAUACAAAAGUAUGGUUACCCUAUAAAGGGUGUAAAAAUCCAAAGAAGAAGAAAAAAAAGGUCACAAAUAACAACCACGGAGGAAGCGCUGCAUCAAAAAAGAAAAUUUGCACGUUUUUCAGAUUUCAAGAAUUUUAUGUAAAAUGCAGACGACAAAAAUAAAUGAAUGCUAAUGCAACAAGCUAUGAAGUUUUUAAAAAAUGAUAUUCUCUAUAACAUGCAAAAAUUCUUGCAUUCUUCCUAAUACAGUAUUUACAGAUGUAAUAUAGAAAUUAAGGACUUUCAUCAGCAACGUUAUAAAUGGACCUGUUAGAUUAUAUUAACACUCUGACUUUGUCUUCGGUAAAUAUAAUCUGAACAGGUCCAUAUAUAACAUAUUGACCUUGUCAAAAGUCCAUACUGUGGAUUCAUUAUUAUUCGUUGGAUACCAAUUUUUGUGGAUUUCGUGGGUACCGGGAAACCACGAAUUUAAAUAUUCA
rnacentral:lncRNA from 1 species